GGUAGUUCGGAGUGCAGAGGCAUCGAGCCGGAAAAGGUUUGCAAAGGACAUAGGCACAGAGUAAUCCUUACACUGCAUUGGGAAACUCACACGUCAGGUUGUGGAUGGUGUUGUAGAGGAUGAGCCGGAAUCAAGUGUAACCUUCAGGUGAAACAAAGUUACUGAAGGAAUGGGGUUCGGCACGAACUUUCUCCAAGUUUAAGAAGGAUGAGGGCAUCACUGUCUAUGCAGCAUUUAUUGCCCAUCCCUAACAGCCCAGAGGGCAGUUAAGAGUCAACCAUGUUGCUGUGGAUCGAGAGUCACAUGAAGGCCAGACCAGGUAACAGGGAAUAUAUUCAGAGGUGAGAGAAAUACUGGGAACUGCCGAUGCUGGAGAAUCUGAGAUAACAAAGUGUAGAGCUGGAUGAACACAGCAGGCCAAGCAGCAGAGGAGCAGGAAAGCUGGCAUUUCAGGUCUGGACCCUUCUUCAGAAA